rnacentral:rRNA from 1 species
ACUCCUACGGGAGGCAGUGGGGUAUAUUGCGCAAUGGGAGACAAGCCUGAAGCAGGGACGAUGCGUGAGGGAUGAAGGCCUUCGGGGUCGUAAACCUCUGUCAGGAGGGAAGAAAUGAGGGGGCUAAUAUCCAGGCUCGGCUUGACAGGUACCUGCCAGAGGAACGCCCCGGAUACACUCCGUGCCAGCAGCCGCGGUAAUA